rnacentral:lncRNA from 1 species
UACUUCUAAAUAACAAAAGGUAAGAAACUCUUGGUCGAGAGCCCAGAAUUUCUCAACAAAUGGCUAAUUUUGCCUCGGUAGGUUCUGUUAUUUGGUUCAAAAGCUUCCAUUUAAGGGUGGAGGGACAAAAAUAUCUAACUGCUAAUAAUUGUCCCUGAGGUUUAUACAGCAGCCAACGAUUUACAGAAUUCUCUUACAGACAUAUCGCAUUUAAAAGACUCCAAACCUCCCAAGUGGGCAGCUGUUCCUUCCGAUCCCGGAGUGUGCUCUGCUGAUGAGAAUUUUUGCAAGUCUCUGUUCCUCUUUGGUGCCGGAGUGGGGCUCGGUCUCCACACCGUGAAGCCAGACUCAGGUGGGAGGUCCCUCACUGCCUUCCCAGAGCUUCUCCUCUGGCGUCCCCAAGGUCAGGAAGCCGUCAUUCUCCUCUGGCUCAUCCAUCAGGCCCACAGAGCCUCUUCGACCAUUGAGACCAGUUGUUUUGCAAGCCUCACUCUUGUGAAGAUCUUGGAUGCUUUCCCUCCUGAGAGUAGAAGAACAGUGUGCAACCCCUCCCACUGCCCACAGCCGGGGGUUCCUUAGCUGCAAAUGGCUCAAAUCCUUCAGAAGAGGCAUGACCAAGAAGCCUUAAAGAUGGCACAGCCCAUCAAAGAGACCACAGGGCAUUCAGAACCAGCCAGAUGCCCACGGACCAGCCGGCAGCAUCACUUAACUCCCAUGGUGUGUCUGGCCUCAACUUCUCCUUCAUUCAUGCCCUCAGUCACGGCAUUCGGGAACCCCUUCUGCUGGUGCCCAAGAGCCCUCUGAGUGCAUCUCUUCCCAGCUCUAUUCAGUGACAUCAUGUCCAUAGUGUGGCCAUGCUGGGAGUGAUUACACCAGAGCAGUUGGCAAGCGCGACCACCCAGGGCUCCUCUCCCCAGAGCUGGUGGCUAACCAUGUUCCUGCCUUGAGGGCAGGUUUCCCACCGUGAAAGGUUAGCACCAUGGCUGCCCCUCCCCCCCCAAAAAAAACAGAUCAGUGGAGGCUCUCCUGUCCUCAAAUGCUCCACAGAAAGUCCCUUCUUUCUACAGAUCUACUAACUCCAUAGUCAACCCUCCAGUGUCUGUCCUAGCUACGUGCCUUUUGGCAAGUCUCUAGGCUUCUUUGGCCUCUGGUCCCUCAUCCAUGAAGCAGAGACAGUACUAUGUAUCCCUUAGACAAAUGGUAUCCAACUGGGCUUUGGCAUGGCCCUGUGGCACUGUAAUACAGGGACCCAUGGACCACGUGGAGCCUCUCGGCGAUGGAGAGCAAAGAUCUUCCUCUUCCUCACCACCCAUUCCUCAUGUGGGGCUCUACCCUAUGGAUGCUGGGUGUAACUCUGGCAGCAGCUCAACGAGGGAGUGACAGUGGGAGUGGCCUGCCCUGCGAGUGGGCAACAAGAGAGCAUCCCCACUGUAGAGAAUUAAAAAAAU